GCGGGACUGCCCGGCACGAGCCAUUGAACAUCCCUGAGGCUAUAAGCAAUCCUAGGGAGCUGUCCCUGCCCUGGUUUGCCGGUUCGCCCGGAAGGCCGGGGUAUACGGCGCCCACCUGACGUGAAGGCGUCAGAGGAUCUCCUGGCAACGACCCAUGGUGGUUCCGCC
rnacentral:other from 1 species